UACAGAGGUCUCAAGCGUUGUUCGGAUUCAUUGGGCGUAAAGGGUGCGUAGGCGGCGCGGUAAGUCGGGUGUGAAAAUCUCGGAGCUUAACUCCGAAACUGCAUUCGAUACUGCCGUGCUUGAGGACUGGAGAGGAGACUGGAAUUUACGGUGUAGCGGUGAAAAUGCGUAGAUAUCGUAAGGAAGACCAGUGGCGAAAGGCGGGUCUCUGGACAGUUCCUGACGCUGAGGCACGAAGGUCAGGGGAGCAA
rnacentral:rRNA from 1 species